rnacentral:rRNA from 1 species
GCCACCCAGCCAUCUUUUUCCCAUCCAAGUUCUCAACUUCCCCUCCCAAACCCCCUCGCUCGAUUACUCCCUCGGACCGACGGACGGACCCUCCUCGGCUCUAUUCAAUUCCUCUUCCACAAGUCUCCGAUCGGAUCUCCCACCAGCGCCGACGAUGGAGCCCAAGCCGCCCACGUCCUCGGAGGAGGAGGCGGCGGCGGGGCCGACGACCCCUCGGUUCAGGCUCGGGAAGCAGUCGUCCCUGGCGCCCAGCCGCGGCGGUGAAAACGGCGCCGAGGUGUCGGGGGAGGCCGCCGGCGUCGCCAGCUUCCAGAUGAUGUACCUGGCCCACGAGGGCAACGCGGAGGGGAUACGCGAGCUCCUCGACGCCGGCGCCGACCCCAACUUCCGCGACUCCGACGGCCGCACGGCGCUGCAUAUCUCCGCCUGCGAGGGCCACGCCGAGGUCGUCGCUCUGCUGCUCGACCGCGGCGCGGAGGCCGUCGUCGAGGACCAGUGGGGAAGCACGCCUUUGGCAGAUGCGAUGCAUUACCAGAACCAUGAUGUUAUCAAGAUCUUGGAGAAGCAUGACUCGAACCAUAAGGUUGCUCCUAUGCAUGUUAACAGUGAUCGUGAUGUUCCUGAAUACGAGAUUGAUCCGGACGAACUUGACUUCACAAAUGGCAAAGAUUUAGCUAAGGGUACAUUUCGGAAAGCAACAUGGAGGGGCAUUCUGGUUGCUGUUAAAAAGCUGGAUGAUGAUGUACUUACUGACGAGAACAAAGUACAAGCAUUCAGAGAUGAGCUUGACGUUCUGCAACUAAUACGGCAUCCAAAUGUCGUUCAAUUUCUGGGCGCUGUAACACAAACCAACCCAAUGAUGAUUGUCAUGGAAUUUAUGCCGAAGGGUGAUUUGCGCAAACACUUGAAUAGGAAAGGAGCUCUGGAACCUUUGUAUGCAGUUAAAUUAGCUCUUGAUAUUGCAAGAGGAAUGAGUUACUUACAUGAGCAUAAACCCCAAGCUAUCAUCCACCGUGACCUUGAGCCUUCAAACAUAUUGAGGGAUGACACUGGGCAUCUGAAGGUGGCAGAUUUUGAUUUGUGUAAGAUGCUAAAGUGGAGAAGAAAAGUCAGAGAGGACAAACCAGUUACUUCUCCUGGCAAUGCCUGUAGGUAUGUAGCUCCAGAAGUCCUGCGUAAAGAGGAGUAUGAUAAUAAAGUUGAUGUCUUCUCAUUCGCUUUGAUACUUCAGGAGAUGAUUGAAGGAUGCCUGCCUUUUCACGAUAAGAAAAUUGAUGAAAUUGAGAAGGCCCAUAGUUCUAAAGAAAGGCCACCGUUUAGAGCUCCUGCAAAGCAUUAUGCCUACGGGCUAAGAGAGUUGAUUGAGAAAUGCUGGAGUGAAAAUCCUGCUGAUAGGCCCAAUUUUAGAGUUGUCAUUGAUCGGUUGUCUGCCAUCCAAAUUGAACUAGCUCGCAGAAACCGUUGGAAGGUCAGACCUCUCAAGUGUUUCCUUAGCUUCGAAGGUUUGCGGAAAAAGGAUCGCAAUGAGGGCAGCACCAACCGUUCGUCACGCUCGUCGCGAUAGCAGCCAGCUGAGAAGAAUGGUAUGGCAAGUGUUACUUCCCUGCUGAUCAGAACACCUGUUGUACACCAGAGGUUUAUCACUAAGCCAUCAAGGAAUUCAUGUACAGAUUGAUCUCUUCGGUUUAUAGUUUGCUUUCUGUGAUAGCUAAGCAACUCCUUUUAAGGAAUGUAAUCUCACGUUGUUGUGGUGUGGCAUUCUUUUGAGGAAUGGUAUUCGGUCAUGUUAUCAAUCUUUCUGAAGGGCAAUCUGUAUGCUGAAGACUGCACGUGACAAGAAUAUACUCAUAAGCAGCGUUCUGCACUCAGGCCUGCCUACUGUCAUCCCAUGAAACAGGAUAUUGCCC